rnacentral:lncRNA from 1 species
UUUUGCCGGCAAAUGGGAAGGCUAGAGUUUGUUCAGGAAAUUGCUUAACACUUUCAGAAAUGGAUGCUCGAUAGCUAUCUGUGCCUCAGUUUAUGUGCUUUAAUUUAAACUCUGUCUGUCUCUAGUUGUGAACCUCCAGUGAGAAUAUGUUAGUCAAUUACAUCCAACCAAUUCUUAACAAAAUUUAACCUAUUCAUCUCAUCUUCAUCCAAAUCAAGCCAACUUUGUCACAAUUUCAUGGAAAUCACUCAAGAUUAACAACUAUUUUACAACAUGAUCAAGUUAUUAUAAGCUAGAGUCCAAUUAUUAUAUUUUUGUACUUUUCAUCCUCCAUCCUCAAUAAAUAGAGGUGUCUUGUUCAUUUAAGAGGUACAGAAUUAAGAGUGAGAAAUUAAAGAGAAGUAGUUAACAAUGGGUAAUUAUGUAAGUUCUCUAAUUGUUUUUAUUCAUUUAAUUAUGAACUAACUUUCUUUUACAAAGGUUAGGAUAAAGUCCUUUUAAUAUAACAAAUUCCAAUUUUUCUUUAUUAAUAAAUGAUUUAUGCUUUUAAUGUUUUUAAUUCUGGUUUCACAUGAUUUAUAGCAAAUGAAACUCUUUUCACCGUCAGUAUCAUAUAUUCUUGCAGCUAGGAAUAGUUUUAAUAAAUCUAUGCUUAUUUCAGUAGUUUUAAAAUCAUCAGCUCAUUUUAUAUUUUUCAAAAUUGGAUACAUAAAAUGCUUAAUGUUAAUACUUAAUACCCUUGAAGCGAAGACGAAUUUGUUUAGAAAUUUCACAUAAAAUCUUUAAGUAAACAAUGGAAUAAUGGAUUGAUUACAAGAUUGUUACUCUUAAGGGGUGGACCAGAACUGAACUGAACUGAAACAUUUUGGUUCAGUUCAGUUCAGGUCGGGUCAUUUAAUCAUUUGCUGUUCAAACAAUAGCUAUUUCCAAAGCCUUCUUUGUUUCAGCUUUUUAUAUGGGAUUAAAAAAUAUAAAAGAAACAGCAAUUAAACUCAACUAUUCUUCACUAACAUCAAAUCAAAAUAUGCCAAAACUCAAAAUGAUUGAUUACAGUACAUCCAGCAGUUAUGCUACUGCCUAAGAAAACAAACACCAGAGAGAAGAAAAUGGGACAUCAGGCUAACAAUUGUCAAGUGUCAAAAGCUCUGCAUGAAGUUUCAAAACAAUAUAUACACAAUCCAACACAAGCUUUUAACAUUCACUAACAAGAAACAACAUCCUCCAGUUGAGUUAAGGAUUCAAAGAAAAUAGUCAAAUCAAUUGCUUGAAGUCUUUAUUUUCAGUUCUAUUAAUAACUCUUUCUUUUUUAAUCCAAUUAUACACUAAAACCUAAAAGCUUAACACUAUGAAGCUGCACUAAUUCAUCAAUUUUACUAACAAUAACCAACUCUUUUGCAAAACAUCCAGAGCUUAGCUAUUUAAAGACAUCACUUUAAGAUAAUUCAACAAAUUACAGCAAAAUCUCAAAUCUAUAAUAUGAAAUAGUAUGAAUACCGAAUGGAAGAAAAAAGAAAAGAAAAUUUUAUUAAAUUAAAUUAUUGCAGUAUUAAUCACAACUCAAUUAAUUUGACUAAUUUAAUUCAGGCCCAAAAUUAAUGGGAAAAUAAAAAACGAAGUCUCAACUCACUGUCUCUGGUGGCCGGCGCGAUCGUAACGACUGAACGAGGCUGCGACGGCAACAGCUGAGACCGGAGGGUGAGAUGGUGACAGAAGACGAAGAGAGUGAGAGAGGAAGGAGCUGCUGGUGGCCUGCGGCUGCCGUGCUGGGCUGCCGUUUUAGGGAAUUACGGUUUUAGCUUAGGGCCGGUUUUCCCUUCUUUUGUUUAAUUGCAUGAACCGAUCGGCUGUGCAUUCCAUUCGGUUUUGGAGCCGAACUAAGUACAAAGUACAAACUGAUCGAUUUAUACAAAGGGUAAUUUUUGGAUACCUCCCCUGAGG